rnacentral:rRNA from 1 species
GGGUGAGUAACACGUGGAUAAUCUGCCCUGCAGAGGGGGAUAACACAGGGAAACUUGUGCUAAUACCGCAUAUAAUGCCUUAGACGCAGGUUUAGGGUAUGAAAGAUUUAUCGCUGCAGGAUGAGUCCGCGGUCCAUUAGCUAGUUGGUGAGGUAAGGGCUUACCAAGGCGACGAUGGAUAGCCGGCCUGAGAGGGUGAACGGCCACACUGGGACUGAGACACGGCCCAGACUCCUACGGGAGGCAGCAGUGGGGAAUAUUGUACAAUGGGGGAAACCCUGAUACAGCGACGCCGCGUGAGUGACGAAGGCCUUCGGGUUGUAAAGCUCUGUCGUGAGAGACGAAGGAAGUGACGGUAUCUCACAAGAAAGCCCCGGCUAACUACGUGCCAGCAGCCGCGGUAAUACGUAGGGGGCGAGCGUUGUCCGGAGUGACUGGGCGUAAAGAGCACGUAGGCGGUUUGAUAUGUCUGAUGUGAAACACCUGGGCUUAACUCAGGUUCUGCAUCGGAAACUGUCAGACUUGAGUACAGGAGAGGAAAGCGGAAUUCCCAGUGUAGCGGUGAAAUGCGUAGAUAUUGGGAGGAACACCAGUGGCGAAGGCGGCUUUCUGGACUGGAACUGACGCUGAGGUGCGAGAGCUAGGGGAGCGAACAGGAUUAGAUACCCUGG